CUGUUUGAUCCUGGCUCAGAACGAACGGUAGCGGCGUGGAUUAGGCAUGCAAGUCGAACGCUCCAUUUUCUUUCGAGAUGGUGGAGAGUGGCGAAAGGGUGAGUAAUGCAUAGACAAUCAACCCCCGACUCUCGGAUAACUGGGAGAAAUUCCAGCUAAUACGGGAUAGGCUCGACGGGAAGCAUUUUCUGUCGAUUAAAGGAGGCCUCUCAACGAUGCUCCUGGUUGGGGACGGGUUUAUGUCCUAUCAGCUUGUUGGUGGGGUAACAGCCUACCAAGGCAAUGACGGGUAGCCGACCUGAGAGGGUGACCGGCCACACUGGGACUGAGACACUGCCCAGACUCCUACGGGAGGCUGCAGUCGAGAAUCUUCCGCAAUGGGCGAAAGCCUGACGGAGCGACGCCGCGUGCAGGAUGAAGGCCUUCGGGUUGUAAACUGCUGUCCUAGGUUAAGAAACGUUUAGGUGUCAAUAGCAGCUAGACUUGACAAAGGCCUAGAAGAAAGCCACGGCUAACUUCGUGCCAGCAGCCGCGGUAAGACGAAGGUGGCAACCGUUGUUCGGAAUUACUGGGCAUAAAGCGCGCGUAGGCGGCGACAUCAGUCAGGUGUGAAAUCCCUCGGCCCAACCGAGGAACUGCGCUUGAUACUGUGUCGCUUGAGGACAGGAGGGGAGCGUGGAAUUCCUGGUGGAGCGGUGAAAUGCGUUGAUAUCAGGAGGAACACCGGCGGCGAAGGCGACGCUCUGGCCUGUUUCUGACGCUGAGGUGCGAAAGCUAGGGUAGCAAACGGGAUUAGAUACCCCGGUAGUCCUAGCCGUAAACGAUGGGCACUAGGUAGGGGGGGAGUCCAAUCCUUCCCUGCUGGAGAUAAUUCGUUAAGUGCCCCGCCUGGGGAGUAUAGUCGCAAGGCUGAAACUCAAAGGAAUUGACAGAUCGGAAGAGCGUCGUGUAGGGAAAGAGUGUAGAUCUCGGUGGU
rnacentral:rRNA from 1 species